rnacentral:rRNA from 1 species
UACGGAGGGUGCAAGCGUUAUCCGGAUUCACUGGGUUUAAAGGGUGUGUAGGCGGGUAUUUAAGUCCGAGGUGAAAUCUCUGAGCUCAACUCAGAAACUGCCUUGGAUACUAUUUAUCUUGAAUAUCGUUGAGGUAGGCGGAAUAUGUCAUGUAGCGGUGAAAUGCUUAGAUAUGACAUAGAACACCGAUUGCGAAGGCAGCUUGCUAAACGAUUAUUGACGCUGAGGCACGAAAGCGUGGGGAUCAAACAGG